rnacentral:rRNA from 1 species
GAUGAACGCUGGCGGCGUGCUUAACACAUGCCAGUCGAACGAUGAAGCCCAGCUUGCUGGGUGGAUUAGUAGCGAACGGGUGAGUAACACGUGAGUAACCUGCCCUUAACUCUGGGAUAAGCCUGGGAAACUGGGUCUAAUACCGGAUAGGAGCGUCCACCGCAUGGUGGGUGUUGGAAAGAUUUAUCGGUUUUGGAUGGACUCGCGGCCUAUCAGCUUGUUGGUGAGGUAAUGGCUCACCAAGGCGACGACGGGUAGCCGGCCUGAGAGGGUGACCGGCCACACUGGGACUGAGACACGGCCCAGACUCCUACGGGAGGCAGCAGUGGGGAAUAUUGCACAAUGGGCGAAAGCCUGAUGCAGCGACGCCGCGUGAGGGAUGACGGCCUUCGGGUUGUAAACCUCUUUCAGUAGGGAAGAAGCGAAAGUGACGGUACCUGCAGAAGAAGCACCGGCUAACUACGUG